rnacentral:rRNA from 1 species
UGGCGGACGGGUGAGUAAUGCUUGGGAAUCUGGCUUAUGGAGGGGGGUAACUACGGGAAACUGUAGCUAAUACCGCGUAAUAUCUUCGGAUUAAAGGGUGGGACUUUCGGGCCACCUGCCAUAAGAUGAGCCCAAGUGGGAUUAGGUAGUUGGUUAGGUAAAGGCUGACCAAGCCGACGAUCUCUAGCUGGUCUGAGAGGAUGACCAGCCACACUGGAACUGAGACACGGUCCAG